rnacentral:rRNA from 1 species
UACAUGUGGGGCAAGCGUUGUUCGGAAUUACUGGGCAUAAAGGGUGCGUAGGCGGCGCGUCAAGUCACUGGUGAAAGUUUGCGGCCCAACCGUAAAAUUGCCGGCGAUACUGGCGUGCUCGAGUGCGUGAGGGGUUGGGGGAACGAGUGGUGUAGCGGUGAAAUGCGUAGAGAUCACUCGGAAGGCCAGAGCCGAAGGGGCCCAACUGGUACGCAACUGACGCUGAGACGCGAAAGCGUGGGGAGCGAACAGG